UACGUAGGGUGCAAGCGUUGUCCGGAAUUAUUGGGCGUAAAGAGCGUGUAGGCGGCCAGAUAGGUCUGCUGUGAAAACUCGAGGCUCAACCUCGAGAUGUCGGCGGAAACCAUUUGGCUAGAGUCCGGAAGAGGAAAGUGGAAUUCCUGGUGUAGCGGUGAAAUGCGCAGAUAUCAGGAAGAACACCCGUGGCGAAGGCGGCUUUCUGGGACGGUACUGACGCUGAGACGCGAAAGCGUGGGGAGCGAACAGG
rnacentral:rRNA from 1 species